rnacentral:lncRNA from 1 species
UUUAGGAUUUAGGAUUUGGUUAGGAUUUUAUUUAGGGUUUAGGAUUUAGUUAGGAUUUGAUUUAGGUUUAGGAUUUGGAUUAGAAUUUGGUUUAGGGUUUAGGAUUUAGAUUAGGAUUUGGUUUAGGAUUUAGGAUUUGGUUUAGGAUUGAGGAUUUGGAUUAGGAUUUAGAAUUUGGAUUAGGAUUUGGUUUAGGAUUUAGAAUUUGGAUUAGGAUUUGGUUUAGGAUUUAGAAUUUGGAUUAGGAUUUGGUUAGGGUUUGAUUUAGGAUUUAGAGUUUGAUUUAGGGGUUGGUUUGAGUUUGGUUUAAGGUUAGUUUAGGAUUUGAUUUAGGAUUUAAGAUUUUAUUAGGAUUAAAGAUUCAAUUAAUUUUGGCCUAAAGUUUGAAUGAAGUUCAAUAGGAUUUUAACUAAAAUUAAAUUAAGAUUGAAUUAAGAUGUAUUUGAAUGAUAUUUGUGAUCUUUUUAAUAUUUCUUUAAGAAUUCUUAUUAUUUGUUUGAGUUUUUUUUGAAUUUUUUUUUAAUUUGAUUAAGCUUGCUUAACAUUAUUAUGGUUUAAUUAGAGCAUUAUUAAUAUUCUAUUAGAA